GAGCCAUGCAGAGGGUAGCUACAGCCAUUAAUUUAAGGAUGUAGAUAAGCUAUCUCUAAACCAAGAAAGAUCGACAUGCACUUGGAUCAUUGCAGUUUCUGGGCCUGCUGUCAUCUCCCCCUUCAGUACUUCCCACAUAUGACUACCAACUGUUAGACGAUGUGCUGCUGCCAGACCAGCCUUUCAUUUCUUGGACAUCCGGCUAUUUACCCAGGAAAAGUCAUCCUUUGACUAUUUUUCAUGACCUUUCUCAUCUGA
rnacentral:lncRNA from 1 species